UACGAAGGGGGGCUAGCGUUGCUCGGAAUCACUGGGCGUAAAGGGUGCGUAGGCGGGUCUUUAAGUCAGGGGGUGAAAUCCUGGAGCUCAACUCCAGAACUGCCUUUGAUACUGAGAUCUUGAGUUCGGGAGAGGUGAGUGGAACUGCGAGUGUAGAGGUGAAAUUCGUAGAUAUUCGCAAGAACACCAGUGGCGAAGGCGGCUCACUGGCCCGAUACUGACGCUGAUGCACGAAAGCGUGGGGAGCAAACAGG
rnacentral:rRNA from 1 species